AGUGAACGCCGGCGGUAGGCCUAACACAUGCAAGUCGAACGGCAGCACAGUAAGAGCUUGCUCUUACGGGUGGCGAGUGGCGGACGGGUGAGGAAUACAUCGGAAUCUACUUUUUCGUGGGGGAUAACGUAGGGAAACUUACGCUAAUACCGCAUACGACCUACGGGUGAAAGCAGGGGAUCUUCGGACCUUGCGCGAUUGAAUGAGCCGAUGUCGGAUUAGCUAGUUGGCGGGGUAAAGGCCCACCAAGGCGACGAUCCGUAGCUGGUCUGAGAGGAUGAUCAGCCACACUGGAACUGAGACACGGUCCAGACUCCUACGGGAGGCAGCAGUGGGGAAUAUUGGACAAUGGGCGCAAGCCUGAUCCAGCCAUACCGCGUGGGUGAAGAAGGCCUUCGGGUUGUAAAGCCCUUUUGUUGGGAAAGAAAAGCAGCAGGUUAAUACCCCGCUGUUCGGACGGUACCCAAAGAAUAAGCACCGGCUAACUUCGUG
rnacentral:rRNA from 1 species